GCGAAAGUGCAGACUUGGCCAAUGGACCCUUGCAGUUGUGGCGAAGCUUGUGAAUGCUAUAGAACAACCAUCUUAAUGAUCCCACAUCGCAACGAAUUAAUGGUUAAAUCAUUGCGUUAUGCUUUAAUUGAAAAUGCAUCGGAUAUUAUGAUGCAGAUAUUUGAUCAAUUGAUAGAAACUACAACUGGCAAGAUAAUUCUCAGUAUGCUGCUAGCUGAAGGCGGGACCAACAUGACGGAUGUUCACCAUAUUCUUCGCAGUGAGACGACAUACCGUAUCACGUCUCGAGCUCUCCUGCCUCGGUUAGACCACGUGACAUUCUCCCCACACACCGGAGCCGUCUUACCCUUACCCGUCACAAUACCCGCUAACGAUAAAUCUGAAAAAUAUUCUGUUACCUUUACCUCAGAUUGCGGCAUGGAUAUACGUACAUAUCGUAUAUUGUUUAUAGAAAAUGAUCAGGUUACAUCGAAUGUAUUUGUAUCGGGUACCUUUUGAAUUUUUUAUUUAUGGAUAUUUUUUUAUAUAUGAAGAACUUUUUUCUUUUCACCUGUUAAUGAUUUGAUGUGAUAGUUUUUAUAUUUCGAUGUUUUUCCUGGUCUAUUAUAAUUUUAAUUUAAUUGAGAAUACAUACUCCAUUCGUGAA